CGCCGCGAGAGAAAAAAGUAAAAGCAGCCAGACCUAGCCCGCGCCCCGCAGCCGCCUCCUCUCUCUCUUGCCGCCGCCGCCUCCACCUCCCCUCCUGCCGCCGCCGCCGCCUCAGCCUCGGCCGGGCCGUGCUCUGCCGGCGCCCGUCGGCCUUGAUCCGGCCUCGCAGGAGGAGCUCGCCCUCGAGGAGGACUCGACAGGAGGAGGGGAGCAGUGCCUCUUCUCCUCCCCUUCGCUUUUCUCCUCCCCACGUUCUAGAUUGGGCACAAGUCACCACCAUACAAGAGCAUGGGUUGCAUGAUCUUCAUGGUGGGCGUGGUGGAGCAAGGAGGGAGGAGGAUAGCGAUGGGGGAAGGAGAAGCAAGGUUGGAGCUCCAGGCUCUACGUUGGCGUGCCGCUGGAGUGGAUGAGUGGUCAUCCGUUGCGCGCCGGCCGUCGUCCCCGUCCCCAAUCUGGGCUGCCUAUGUUUUACUGUUGUUCUCUGCAAAAUCAGCGUGAGUGCUUGAUGUUACCUCCAUCAGCUGAUGAGGCGAGGCUGCUGCUGCUGAAAAAUGGUGCUGCUACCGGAGGCAGUGGAGAGGCAUUCCGUGGACCAACUAUGGUGUGGUUCAGAUAGUCCAAGGAGUGGAAACUAUAACCUUGUCAAAUUCUACACAUAGCCAUUAUGACGACACAUUUAUGCGAUAGAUUGUCAAUAUUUAAGUUGAUACACUAAAGACGGAGAUGUGGAAAGCUUGCCACGGAGGCACACAGGCUUGCUGAUUCUGUUUUGGAUUUGUCCUUGAGAGGAGGCCGAAGCAAACUUCAACAGGCAUCAGGUGUGCAUCCUCUAUUCGUUGUGUUUGUCCCCCUAACUGUUUGUCUCCCUAACAGACCUUGAGCUUUGUACAUUUUGGUACAUAUAGUUAGUUACUUAGUUUACUUGCAGUUGACGAUGGUCAGAUCACAUACAUGCUUGGUUUUACUCAACUUAGUAGCUUCCAUUCAGUAGGCAGUCAGAACUAAUUUGUGAAAAUUAGACCAAAGGAAAGUCUGCCUUCCUUUUUUGUGCACAUAAAUACUUCUGGUUACAAUAUGUGACCAAAUUAAGUAAACUUAUACGAUAUAUUUCUUCAUUGUUCCGCUUACGGAAACUGAACUGCUGUUGUGUUAAUAUGUUAUAUUCAUCUUUAAAGGCCUUGUGGUCGGUUGCCAUUGUUGUGCAGUAAUUUCUCUCCGAAACACUCGUCCAAAUUUAUGAUUGGUUUCGCUGGCGCUGCAUGUAAGUGAGAUCUACUUAUUGUUCUAUUGGCUUUGCUCCGAUGAGUUCUUCCCCAUAUACCUUUUUGAUGAUUUUGCCACCAUAUGGUCGACCUGGUCUUAUCAAGGUUUAUCAUGGUUUUCGUGGUAGUGUGACUGGCUCACAGUACAUAAUUGUCUGCCUUCUCCACCAAAUGUAUGUGUUAUGAUAUUUUGUAAGGCUAGGCACACCCUAGGUUGUUUAAUGCUUUUGAUCUAGCUUGUUAUGAGAUAAUUAAACAAUCGUGUUUAUUUGCUCACGAGCAAGAUGAUGAUUUCAAGCCAAUGACUAUUUGCCCCUUUUAGAGUUUCUACCAUUUAAUUGUGUUGUUAUUUCCCUUAAUAGAAUAUUUGCUAAUGGUUAGACUACCUUGCGGUUAUUAUUCCUAUGGGCAAACAAAUAUAUGAUUAUUAAUAUUGCAUAGCUUGAACAAAAGCACAUGACCUGUCUUCUGCAUUGGUGGCUAAAAUUGAGAUACUUAUGCUUGUUGAUGCCUUCCCUUUUGUAGUAAAAUCCAUGCUUCUAGCGUAUGUAGACGCCUCUGGCGUCGAACUGAAGAGACGAGGAAGAAAGGGGAUACACAAGCUCGUUGGAUCCACUCGCUGCCGCUUCAUAUUCAGCUCUUCACGGGUCACGACUGUCGCUAUUCGUGGGCCGGGCUAAAUAACAUAUGGGCCAUCGAAAUACUUAUCUCCAUAUACGCAGAACAGAAAGAUCAAAAAUCUCACAAUGGAAGACAUGGACAUUGGCAUCGUCUGUGAGACGGUUCCCCAGGAUCAGCAGCAUCAAGGACAGCAACGCCUGCGCCCAAUGAGAAUGACUAUCUGAUAGUAAUUCCUUAAGCCCACAUAUUCGCCCUGGUGCUGAAAGCUCUGAAGUUACCCCCCGCAACUUAUUAUCACAAGAUAUGCCCAGGCGGAAAGAAUCGUGUGACGGUUACUUUCAUUUCUUCUUUGGAAUUGCUCGAUGGUGCACUUGUUCCAAGUUCUCUGUCAGGUGCAAUCUUAGAUAGCUAUGAAGAUGCUGAAGACAGUGCUGCUAUUGAAGCUAUUAGAUACAUGGAAAAUGCAUAUGGCAAAGAAAUGAGGGACUACCACUACACUCAUGUCAAGAAGCUUCAAAAUCAAGUGACGCACCUGGUCAAAUGGCUGGUUGCAUCAAAUAAAACAAUCAAGAAGCUGUGCAAAACAUGCUACUACGCCGUCAGGUAUAUGAGCUAAUAUUCUGCCCAAAUAGAAAACACAACGACUGCUCGGCAUUUGAAAGGGCGGGAUAGCAAAGGGAGUUAUGAAAACAGCGCUGGCAAGCAUUGAAGGACUGACGCAGAGGCUACGCUACAUUGCUAUGAAGUUUGAGCAGCGCCUCGAAGCAACCAGAAAUAGUUUCUGGUGAGCUUUGGUCAAUGUGUCCUGACGUAUCGAUCAGACAAGGAUCUUUCGCAUUUUGGCGUACUCCAAGCAAGAUAUGUGUACGCUUUAGUCUUAACUUGCUGCCUCUAUGCUGAAAAGUAGUGUAUGAUAUAGUCUACGAUCUUUAAACUUUGUUGUUAUCUCUGUACUCAGAAGCGGGUUAUCAUCGCUUACUGUAUAUAUGUGAAGGCCUCUUCUUCUGCUAUUCUUUCCAGGCCACUGCUUCUGUGGUGAAAAGUAUUGUAUAAUGUAGUCUAUGAUCUUUAGAUUAUAUUGUUCUCUUUGUAGUCAAAAGCAGUUUUUCACCGCUUAUUAUAUAUAUAUAUACUCCUCUCC